UUUAAUCAAGGACCUCAAGUGGGUACUGCUGCCUUAGAGAGGCAAGUGACGGAGAAAGAAAUUCCAAUGACCAAUGAGGGGGAUGCGAUUGAUACCGUUGAUGUGGCAGUGAAAGACUCCAACAAUGUUGAUGGAGGGAAGGGGCUGGACCAAGAAGCACAAGUGGAGGAUAACCUUGGCAUUGGUUAUGAUGGGGACGUUACAGGUGGCGGGUUCUCGAACCCUACAUUGCAUAUAACCUCCUCACAUACAAAUGUUGAUAUCGAUUUACCCGCAAGCACAGUUGAUGUUGUAUUGUUGUAGGAUUAUUUUUGCAUGUAGAAUUUCUUCUAGGCACAAGCUCGGAGAAGGGCGCCGACACCAAAAUAAAUGGUGGAUCAGCGCCAGAUUUUAUUAUCGCAAGCAGCAGCGCCUCAAAGCUUGUCGGGAGUGGUACUGCACCUGCGUGUGGACUGGACAAAACCAG
rnacentral:lncRNA from 1 species